rnacentral:rRNA from 1 species
GACGAACGCUGGCGGCGUGCCUAAUACAUGCAAGUAGAACGCUGAAGAGAGGAGCUUGCUCUUCUUGGAUGAGUUGCGAACGGGUGAGUAACGCGUAGGUAACCUGCCUGGUAGCGGGGGAUAACUAUUGGAAACGAUAGCUAAUACCGCAUAAAAUUGAUUAUUGCAUGAUAAUUAAUUGAAAGAUGCAAUUGCAUCACUACCUGAUGGACCUGCGUUGUAUUAGCUAGUUGGUGAGGUAACGGCUCACCAAGGCGACGAUACAUAGCCGACCUGAGAGGGUGAUCGGCCACACUGGGACUGAGACACGGCCCAGACUCCUACGGGAGGCAGCAGUAGGGAAUCUUCGGCAAUGGGGGGAACCCUGACCGAGCAACGCCGCGUGAGUGAAGAAGGUUUUCGGAUCGUAAAGCUCUGUUGUAAGAGAAGAACGGGUGUGAGAGUGGAAAGUUCACACUGUGACGGUAUCUUACCAGAAAGGGACGGCUAACUACGUGCCAGCAGCCGCGGUAAUACGUAGGUCCCGAGCGUUGUCCGGAUUUAUUGGGCGUAAAGCGAGCGCAGGCGGUUAGAUAAGUCUGAAGUUAAAGGCUGUGGCUUAACCAUAGUAUGCUUUGGAAACUGUUUAACUUGAGUGCAGAAGGGGAGAGUGGAAUUCCAUGUGUAGCGGUGAAAUGCGUAGAUAUAUGGAGGAACACCGGUGGCGAAAGCGGCUCUCUGGUCUGUAACUGACGCUGAGGCUCGAAAGCGUGGGGAGCAAACAGGAUUAGAUACCCUGGUAGUCCACGCCGUAAACGAUGAGUGCUAGGUGUUAGGCCCUUUCCGGGGCUUAGUGCCGCAGCUAACGCAUUAAGCACUCCGCCUGGGGAGUACGACCGCAAGGUUGAAACUCAAAGGAAUUGACGGGGGCCCGCACAAGCGGUGGCGCAUGUGGUUUAAUUCGAAGCAACGCGAAGAACCUUACCAGGUCUUGACAUCCCUCUGACCGCUCUAGAGAUAGAGUUUUCCUUCGGGACAGAGGUGACAGGUGGUGCAUGGUUGUCAUCAGCUCGUGUCGUGAGAUGUUGGGUUAAGUCCCGCAACGAGCGCAACCCCUAUUGUUAGUUGCCAUCAUUGAGUUGGGCACUCUAGCGAGACUGCCGGUAAUAAACCGGAGGAAGGUGGGGAUGACGUCAAAUCAUCAUGCCCCUUAUGACCUGGGCUACACACGUGCUACAAUGGCUGGUACAACGAGUCGCAAGCCGGUGACGGCAAGCUAAUCUCUGAAAGCCAGUCUCAGUUCGGAUUGUAGGCUGCAACUCGCCUACAUGAAGUCGGAAUCGCUAGUAAUCGCGGAUCAGCACGCCGCGGUGAAUACGUUCCCGGGCCU